UCACCCCACUGGCUUGUGCCUAAGGUGGGACUAGAGCUCAUGGUCUCCCAGUUUCUCGCCUGGUGCCUUUAAUCACUAUAUCAGACUGGCUCCUAGAAUGGAUUACUAGCAUAUAAUUAGAAAUAUAUUUCAUGAUAAGAAAAAGUAUAGCAGUAUGACCUGCUGUGCCUGUUUGUUCUAUUAUCUCAAUUGUUGGAUAACUUCUAACCUUCUAUUCUCUCCUCUUACAAUCAAUCUUCUUUAUGUUACGAUAGCCUUUGACUCAGCAAGCCUUUGGGCAGACUGGAAAUUAUAAAACAAGACACAGGGACAUCUCAUGAGAGAGCCUCUAAGCUCCAGGAAUUAGCAGUAGACCCAGCAGGAGUCCCCAUCUCACACUAGUUAUGGACACGGGUGUCCUGGAAGGCUUCUAUUUUCAAACACUGGGACAUCUUUUAGGCAAGGUAGGAAGGUCCAAAGAAAAACUCUCAAAGAACCUGGAGUCAUUCUGCCUCAUAAGCCCAGAACUGUACAGUAACAUUGGAUUUCUCCCGCAUUUGUAGAAAACAGUUUGGGAGGAAGGGCAUUUUGGCAGAUCUGUUGCCUUAUGAAGUCAACGUUGAUUCUUGCAUCCAUAAGGAAAGGAUGAAGGUGUCAAGAUGAAGAAAGUAGCAUUGCAGCCUUGUGAUGCAAGCCUUUUCUGCAUACAUCAAAAUGUCACACAGAUGCCCCAAACAGGUGGAGCUUGAGAUGUGAUACUGUGACAUUGCUUUAAUUGUUUUGAAAAAAGCAGCAGGAUCCUGAGGACACUGUAGGAAAGAAGAUGACAGGAAGUUUUCUUGGAACCCUGAAGAAAUAAGAUUAUGAAGCAAAUGGUGCGGAAGAUCCUCAGUCACAUUUAUUCUGUAUGGACAAAGGCACAAAUUACAGGGAAUAAUUCAAAACUUGCCUUCGAGCACUGGCGAUGGCAUCACUCACAUUCACAACGGAGCCAAAGCCCUUCUUGCUGGAAAAUUCCAAAUUGAUAGCAAGUCCCAUAACAAUGGGAAAGUUAAUAAAAGGAAAGCAAAGUCAAAGUCAAAGAGAGCCAGUCUGGUCUAGUGGUUAAGGCACCA